rnacentral:rRNA from 1 species
CCUACGGGGUGCAGCAGUAGGGAAUCUUGCGCAAUGGGCGAAAGCCUGACGCAGCAACGCCGCGUGAACGAGACGCCCUUCGGGGUGUAAAGUUCUGUCAGUGGGGACGAAAAAUGACGGUACCCACAGAGGAAGCACUGGCUAAUUCCGUGCCAGCAGCCGCGGUAAUACGGAGGGUGCAAGCGUUGUCCGGAAUCAUUGGGCGUAAAGGGUUGGUAGGCGGGAUGUAAAGUCAGGUGUGAAAGGCGCAGGCUCAACCUGUGUAUGGCACUUGAUACUUGCAAGCUGGAAUGCGGUAGAGGUAGAGGGAAUUCCUGGUGUAGCGGUGAAAUGCUUAGAUAUCAGGAGGAACUUCGAUGGCGUAGGCGCUUUACUAGGCCGUAAUUGACACUGAGGAACGAAAGCCAGGGUAGCAAAUGGGAUUAGAUACCCUAGUAGUC